AAAAAAAUAACUAAAUUAUUAUUAUUUUAAACUUAAAAAAAUUAAACAUAAACAAAAUUAUUUCUAUUUUUUUAAAUAGAAACUUUGUGUUAAAUAUUAAAAAUAAAAACAAUUAUAAAAUUCUAACAAUUGGAUUAUGCUGAGGCUCCAUUUUAAACGUCACACUAGUUUAUUAACCCCUCGUAGACGGCAUGUAGUAGCUAAAAAACAGCAACAACAAAUAAACAUAAACCAACAACACUAUCAAAAAAACUAUGUUAUUAAUCCAAAGUCAUUAUUGUGUGAUUUGAAACAACAACAAGAACAUUUACAGUUUAAUCAAAGAUUCAAUCAACGUAUCAUUUUCAAUUUGGAAUUGUAUCACAAGAAUAUAUUUUUGAAAAAAUCCCUUCAAACGUUUUAUAAAAAAUCUAAACGUCAAUAUCUCUGCAUAAAAAUUUCAUAGAUCCAAUAACAACAAUACACACGCACACAGAAAGACCAAUCUAUAAAAAUAUACACACACACAUACAUACACUCUUGGCUACAUAUGAAUAAGAUUUGAGAAAAAGUGCAAAAACCCCGUUUAAAAUAAUAAAAAAAAAUAAGUAAAAUAGCAGUUAAUAUUUACUAAAGCAAUAAACAGGAAACAUAAAUUUAACUAAAAUAAACAACAGCAAUUUAUAAAAAGCCUUUUAAUUUAAUAAAAUAAAACAAUAAUUCAAAUAAUAUAAAACAGCUGUUAAUAUAACAGUUAUAAAACUACUAUUAAAACAACAAGUUCUUCACAACAAAUUG